CACCCCUCAGACCCCCCGGGUUUGAUGUUGGGCGUUUGCCGAUUGGGGCACGCCUGAAAAGCAGCGAUGGUGACCGUGAUACCUCCAAGCGCACAGAUGUCGCUGGGCAGGACCGCGGGGGCCAGGCUUCUAAUGAAUUUUCUAAA
rnacentral:misc_RNA from 1 species